CCCAUGUGCCUCCACGUGGUUCUCCUUAUCCUUGGCAGUUCGUCCUUCGGGUUAAAAGAGGAGAAAUCACAAGUGUCAUGAUUGGAUGGGAAGGGCUUGCAGAAAUUCACCUGCUCUUUCCACAGUGCUGGUGCCGCCAAAUUCAGCAGAGCUGCCCCGCACUGAGCAUCCCAAAAGAUGUCGGGAGCAGGGUUGGAACCAAAGCUGGAAUCCCAUCUCAGCAAAUCUUAACGUGAUUUUGAGCCAAGAAGCUUGAGGAAUUUGCUUUAUACCUCUCCAAAGUGCUAAUGGGAGCCACAGAAUCCUUGCUGAGCUAUGAGAGGGACUAAAAUAAAUCUCCAUCAGGGUUUAUCCAUGAGCUGCAGAGCUCUUCAGUGAGGCCCAGAAUCAGUGUGGAAACUGCACCUUUCAGAGGCUCUGGGCAGGACAAAGGGCCUCAUCAUCUGCAGCCAUGGGAGAAACCUGGAUGGGGAUCAAAUAAUGGGAA